rnacentral:lncRNA from 1 species
AUGGAAUCUUAUCACAAAUCAGGCCAGUGGUGAUUUGGAAUUCCCGGAGAGAGAAGCGGAGUGGAAACCCACCAUAUACAGUCCACAACUCAUGCUUUGAUUGAGUCAAAAGUUGUCUAGAAAGCAUACCAUGAAUCAACUUGGCAGAAUGAGAACACCUUGCAACAGGAAGUUCAAACAAUCGUUUGAACUGGGAAGCAAGUAGCAAGUCCCAACUCUCUGAACCCUCCAGUAGUUCCACCAGAAUCCCCAGAUAUUCCGGCUUUGAGUAUAUGUUAAGGCGAGUCCGAUCUGGUAAGUCGUCAGGAUGCAACAGACGGCAAGGUAGGCUAGGGUUUGGAACCUCAUCCUCUCCGGCUGUUGUUUUUGCCGGAGAAUGUGCAAAUCCUCUUGCAUCUCCUAUUAUUCAUUUCAGAAACCCUCAAAUUUCAAACAAUUUG